ACGCUGACAGAAUGCUUAACACAUGCAAGUCAACUUGAAUUUGGGUUUUUAACUUAGAUUUGGGUGGCGGACGGGUGAGUAACGCGUAAAGAACUUGCCUCACAGCUAGGGACAACAUUUAGAAAUGAAUGCUAAUACCUGAUAUUAUGAUUUUAAGGCAUCUUAGAAUUAUGAAAGCUAUAAGCACUGUGAGAGAGCCUUGCGUCCCAUUAGCUAGUUGGAGAGGUAACAGCUCACCAAGGCGAUGAUGGGUAGCCGGUCUGAGAGGGUGAACGGCCACAAGGGGACUGAGACACGGCCCUUACUCCUACGGGAGGCAGCAGUGGGGAAUAUUGGACAAUGGACCGAGAGUCUGAUCCAGCAAUUCUGUGUGCACGAUGAAGUUUUUCGGAAUGUAAAGUGCUUUCAGUUGGGAAGAAAAAAAUGACGGUACCAACAGAAGAAGUGACGGCUAAAUACGUGCCAGCAGCCGCGGUAAUACGUAUGUCACGAGCGUUAUCCGGAUUUAUUGGGCGUAAAGCGCGUCUAGGUGGUUAUGUAAGUCUGAUGUGAAAAUGCAGGGCUCAACUCUGUAUUGCGUUGGAAACUGUAUAACUAGAGUACUGGAGAGGUAAGCGGAACUACAAGUGUAGAGGUGAAAUUCGUAGAUAUUUGUAGGAAUGCCGAUGGGGAAGCCAGCUUACUGGACAGAUA
rnacentral:rRNA from 1 species